rnacentral:rRNA from 1 species
UAAGCCGUUGAAGGUGUGUUGUAAAGCAUGCUGGAGGUAUCAGAAGUGCGAAUGCUGACAUGAGUAACGACAAGGGGGGUGAAAAACCUCCCCGCCGGAAGACCAAGGGUUCCUGUCCAACGUUAAUCGGGGCAGGGUAAGUCGACCCCUAAGGCGAGGCCGAAAGGCGUAGUCGAUGGGAAACGGGUUAAUAUUCCCGUACUUCUUACAAUUGCGAUGGGGGGACGGAGAAGGCUAGGUGGGCCUGGCGACGGUUGUCCAGGUUCAAGUGCGUAGGCUGAGUGUUUAGGUAAAUCCGGAUACUCUUAAGGCUGAGACACGACGUCGAGCUACUACGGUAGUGAAGUCAUUGAUGCCAUGCUUCCAGGAAAAGCCUCUAAGCUUCAGAUUGUAAGGAAUCGUACCCCAAACCGACACAGGUGGUCGGGUAGAGAAUACCAAGGCGCUUGAGAGAACUCGGGUGAAGGAACUAGGCAAAAUGGUACCGUAACUUCGGGAGAAGGUACGCUCUUGAUGGUGAAGUCCCUUGCGGAUGGAGCUGACGAGAGUCGCAGAUACCAGGUGGCUGCAACUGUUUAUUAAAAACACAGCACUGUGCAAAAUCGUAAGAUGACGUAUACGGUGUGACGCCUGCCCGGUGCCGGAAGGUUAAUUGAUGGGGUUAGCGUAAGCGAAGCUCUUGAUCGAAGCCCCGGUAAACGGCGGCCGUAACUAUAACGGUCCUAAGGUAGCGAAAUUCCUUGUCGGGUAAGUUCCGACCUGCACGAAUGGCGUAAUGAUGGCCACGCUGUCUCCACCCGAGACUCAGUGAAAUUGAAAUCGCUGUGAAGAUGCAGUGUACCCGCGGCUAGACGGAAAGACCCCGUGAACCUUUACUACAGCUUGGCACUGAACAUUGAACCUACAUGUGUAGGAUAGGUGGGAGGCUUUGAAGACGUGACGCCAGUUGCGUUGGAGCCGUCCUUGAAAUACCACCCUUGUAUGUUUGAUGUUCUAACGUUGGCCCCUAAUCGGGGUUGCGGACAGUGCCUGGUGGGUAGUUUGACUGGGGCGGUCUCCUCCCAAAGAGUAACGGAGGAGCACGAAGGUGGGCUAAUCACGGUUGGACAUCGUGAGGUUAGUGCAAUGGCAUAAGCCCGCUUAACUGCGAGAAUGACGGUUCGAGCAGGUGCGAAAGCAGGUCAUAGUGAUCCGGUGGUUCUGAAUGGAAGGGCCAUCGCUCAACGGAUAAAAGGUACUCCGGGGAUAACAGGCUGAUACCGCCCAAGAGUUCAUAUCGACGGCGGUGUUUGGCACCUCGAUGUCGGCUCAUCACAUCCUGGGGCUGAAGUCGGUCCCAAGGGUAUGGCUGUUCGCCAUUUAAAGUGGUACGCGAGCUGGGUUUAGAACGUCGUGAGACAGUUCGGUCCCUAUCUGCCGUGGGCGUUGGAAGAUUGAAGGGGGCUGCUCCUAGUACGAGAGGACCGGAGUGGACGAACCUCUGGUGUUCGGGUUGUGUCGCCAGACGCAUUGCCCGGUAGCUAAGUUCGGAAUCGAUAACCGCUGAAAGCAUCUAAGCGGGAAGCGAGCCCUGAGAUGAGUCUU